rnacentral:rRNA from 1 species
CCUACGGGUGGCAGCAGUGAGGAAUAUUGCACAAUGGGGGAAACCCUGAUGCAGCGACGCCGCGUGAGUGAUGAAGGAUUUCGGGAUGUAAAGCUCUAUCAGCAGGGAAGAUAAUGACGGUACCUGACUAAGAAGCUCCGGCUAAAUACGUGCCAGCAGCCGCGGUCAUACGUAUGGAGCAAGCGUUAUCCGGAUUUACUGGGUGUAAAGGGAGCGCAGGCGGCAGGGCAAGUCGGAUGUGAAAGUCCGGGGGUCAACCCCGGGACUGCAUUGGAAACUGGCCGGCUAGAGUGCAGGAGAGGUAAGUGGAAUUCCUAGUGUAGCGGUGAAAUGCGUAGAUAUUAGGAGGAACACCAGUGGCGAAGGCGGCUUACUGGACUGUAACUGACGUUGAGGCUCGAAAGCGUGGGGAGCAAACAGGAUUAGAUACCCUUGUAGUC